UGUUGUUCGGCAGGAUCGACGACCUCGGAUCUCGCGUGAUCCGAUUCCGCCGCGGAAGAAGCAUUUUCCCCUGGUUUUACGAGCUAGAUCAUUUUGCCCGCGAUCAAAUCGUCUUCGUUCCGAGAUAAUAAUAAUUAUAGUGAUUUUCGUCUGCACGCGUCGGGGUUUGGAACUUUGAUUGUUUUGGUCCGAUGGAAAGGUGGAAUUAUCUUCUGUUUUGAAGUUUGGACAAUUUGAUGGAAAAAUAAGUUAAUUUUGAAGCACUCAUUAUUGAGAAAAUUAUAAAAUAAAAUGGCAUUUAGAUAACAUAAAAGAUAAGGAAGCAAUGUGUUCUUGAUGUAUUAUGUAUAACACAGAAAUUCUACUCUUCGUACACUGAGACAAAAGUAAAGGAACUAAAUUCAGCAAGGAUAAUACGAUACAUUCCCUUUCAAUAUUUUUGUGUAAACCAUUGUUUGGGUGAAGCUCAAAAAAUAUACAUUGUUAAAGAACAAAACAAUUUCAACUCUUGUCGAUGUCAGUUCUUAUUUUCAUGUUUCUUCUAUUGAAUGGUACAUAAGAAACGAUACUAAUUAAAGCAACACCAAACAAAAGGCAAUAUCCGUUAGUAUUGAAACUAAUAAUUUGCCAAAGUCUGUAAAAAGAUCCAAUAUUCAAGAAAGUAAAGUGAAAGGUAGAUAAUUAACACAAGAACUGUUGAAUUUCCGCUUUUCUCCGCAAAUGUUCGCUCAAGGUAGAAAGUUCUUACGUUGGGUGUCAAUCUCACUAUGUUUCUCAACAUACGCGUUACGGAUUUUCAAUCGCAAG